CCAGAUUUUGUGCAAAGAAAUUUGUUGUAGUUACAUUUUUCGUUUGAUAAAAAAUUAAACUAUUUUAUAUCCACUAGCGAUUACUUGCUGUUUCAAUUGCAUUUCGACGAACGGAAAACUUAUACUGUAACAAAUACUUGUUGCAUCAAUUGCAUUUUGAGGAAUAUAUAAAUAAUUAAAAUGGAUGUUGUAAAAAACUUAAAUCACAAGCUAAAAAUGAAUAUGUCUCUAUGUCAUCAUUACAAUUGGAUCGUCCAUAUCCAGUAACACACCUGAGAGCUGUUGAAACCAGGUAUGGACACACCAUAAUUGCACGAUUGGAAAAAUGGUUGCCAGUUGUGUCUACCAAAAUCUAUAUUUCUUUCCGAUGAAGAAAUUGAGCAUUUUAAUAGCAGUGAAAAAAAAUUAUGUUUAAUAUAUCAUGGAAAACGUGGUAAAGCAUAUAACUUUUCUUUUAUAUAAUUCAAAAAAUAAUAAAACGUUCAUAAUUUUUUUACAAACAAUUAACAAUA